ACGGUGAUGGCCAGCUUGCUGGUCUGAUCAGUGGCGAACGGGUGAGUAACACGUGAGCAACCUACCCCAGACUCUGGAAUAACCAUGGGAAACGAUGGCUAAUACCGGAUACGAGACGCACACGCAUGUGUGGUGUCUGGAAAGAUUUAUCGGUCUGGGAUGGGCUCGCGGCCUAUCAGCUUGUUGGUGGGGUAGUGGCCUACCAAGGCGACGACGGGUAGCCGGCCUGAGAGGGCGACCGGCCACACUGGGACUGAGAUACGGCCCAGACUCCUACGGGAGGCAGCAGUGGGGAAUAUUGCACAAUGGGCGCAAGCCUGAUGCAGCGACGCCGCGUGAGGGAUGACGGCCUUCGGGUUGUAAACCUCUUUCAGCAGGGAAGAAGCGAAAGUGACGGUACCUGCAGAAGAAGCGCCGGCUAACUACGUGCCAGCAGCCGCGGUAAUACGUAGGGCGCAAGCGUUGUCCGGAAUUAUUGGGCGUAAAGAGCUCGUAGGCGGUUUGUCGCGUCUGCUGUGAAAACCUAAGGCUCAACCUUGGGCUUGCAGUGGGUACGGGCAGACUAGAGUGCGGUAGGGGUGACUGGAAUUCCUGGUGUAGCGGUGGAAUGCGCAGAUAUCAGGAGGAACACCGAUGGCGAAGGCAGGUCACUGGGCCGCAACUGACGCUGAGGAGCGAAAGCAUGGGGAGCGAACAGGAUUAGAUACCCUGGUAGUCCAUGCCGUAAACGUUGGGCACUAGGUGUGGGGCUCAUUCCACGAGUUCCGUGCCGCAGCAAACGCAUUAAGUGCCCCGCCUGGGGAGUACGGCCGCAAGGCUAAAACUCAAAGAAAUUGACGGGGGCCCGC
rnacentral:rRNA from 1 species